AUUGAACGCUGGCGGCAGGCUUAACACAUGCAAGUCGAGCGGAGGUGAGGUGCUUGCACCUUAUCUUAGCGGCGGACGGGUGAGUAAUGCUUAGGAAUCUGCCUAUUAGUGGGGGACAACAUUCCGAAAGGAAUGCUAAUACCGCAUACGUCCUACGGGAGAGAGCAGGGGAUCUUCGGACCUUGCGCUAAUAGAUGAGCCUAAGUCGGAUUAGCUAGUUGGUGGGGUAAAGGCCUACCAAGGCGACGAUCUGUAGCGGGUCUGAGAGGAUGAUCCGCCACACUGGGACGGAGACACGGCCCAGACUCCUACGGGAGGCAACAGUGGGGAAUAUUGGACAAUGGGGGGAACCCUGAUCCAGCCAUGCCGCGUGUGUGAAGAAGGCCUUAUGGUUGUAAAGCACUUUAAGCGAGGAGGAGGCUACUGAGACUAAUACUCUUGGAUAGUGGACGUUACUCGCAGAAUAAGCACCGGCUAACUCUGUGCCAGCCGCCGCGGUAA
rnacentral:rRNA from 1 species